AAUAGAUACCCUGGUAGUCCACGCCGUAAACGGUGGGCACUAGAUGUGGGGUUCUUUCCAUGAGUUCCGCGUCGCAGCUAACGCAUUAAGUGCCCCGCCUGGGGAGUACGGCCGCAAGGCUAAAACUCAAAGGAAUUGACGGGGGCCCGCACAAGCGGCGGAGCAUGCGGAUUAAUUCGAUGCAACGCGAAGAACCUUACCAAGGCUUGACAUAUACGGUCUAUCCCUAGAGAUAGGGAUGCUUCGGCGCCGUAUACAGGUGGUGCAUGGUUGUCGUCAGCUCGUGUCGUGAGAUGUUGGGUUAAGUCCCGCAACGAGCGCAACCCUCGUCCUAUGUUGCCAGCGGAUAAUGCCGGGGACUCAUGGGAGACUGCCGGGGUCAACUCGGAGGAAGGUGGGGAUGAGGUCAAAUCAUCAUGCCCCUUAUGUCUUGGGCUUCACGCAUGCUACAAUGGCCGGUACAAAGGGCUGCAAUACCGCGAGGUGGAGCGAAUCCCAAAAAGCCGGUCUCAGUUCGGAUUGAGGU
rnacentral:rRNA from 1 species